UAAAAUUUUCUAUUUCCAGCAAUUUAACAGAGGAACAGCUUUCAAAGCUCAAUAGUCUGAUUUUGUUUAGUGUAAAAGACAAAGACCUAUUUGGCAUGACUAGUCAAUACAUCGCUGAGUGCUACAUAACCUUUGCGGACCUCAUGGCAAAAGAAAAUGAACAAAUUCACAUCGAACUAUCUCGGGCACAAUACGCAGAAUCAGAAACCAUUCGUGCAUUGGAAUAUCGGCAGGGUGACAAACAAGCACGAGAUUUUUUAAAGAAAUUAAAAAAUAAAUUGAAUUCUAAAUAAACUAUUUAUUCUAUCAUUGCAUAGUUUUGGUAAUACUGCACGAGUUCUUGUUUAAAAUUAUUAUGUUUUUUUAAU
rnacentral:lncRNA from 1 species